AUUGAACGCUGGCGGCAGGCCUAACACAUGCAAGUCGAACGGUAACAGGAAGAAGCUUGCUUCUUUGCUGACGAGUGGCGGACGGGUGAGUAAUGUCUGGGAAACUGCCUGAUGGAGGGGGAUAACUACUGGAAACGGUAGCUAAUACCGCAUAACGUCGCAAGCCCAAAGAGGGGGACCUUCGGGCCUCUUGCCAUCGGAUGUGCCCAGAUGGGAUUAGCUAGUAGGUGGGGUAACGGCUCACCUAGGCGACGAUCCCUAGCUGGUCUGAGAGGAUGACCAGCCACACUGGAACUGAGACACGGUCCAGACUCCUACGGGAGGCAGCAGUGGGGAAUAUUGCACAAUGGGCGCAAGCCUGAUGCAGCCAUGCCGCGUGUAUGAAGAAGGCCUUCGGGUUGUAAAGUACUUUCAGCGGGGAGGAAGGGAGUAAAGUUAAUACCUUUGCUCAUUGACGUUACCCGAAGAAGAAGCACCGGCUAACUCCGUG
rnacentral:rRNA from 1 species